CCAAUUAAAUUUCAAGAUCUCCUCAGACACAUUUCAACUACAUGUAUCUGGAUUAUCUGAUUAGGGCAGUAGUUAGUUAAUGAGAGUGAAACCACUGGAGUGACCAUACACCCCGAUGUUGUAUACCAUUUCUGGAUUAAAGUCAGUUCUCCGUUGGAUAACCCAGUACCUACCAGUGUAAAGGUGGAUUGGCCACAGUUUCAGAGAUGUGAUACUCUCGGCCAAAUGAGCUUCUAUUGAUGCAUCCAUGAUUCCCCAGCCUCGGGUUUGUUUUACCAGUCAGUAUGGAACAUAUUAAGAAAAUAUUUAAAACGCCUGAGAAAAAAAUACCCAUUGAAAGAGGAAGAUUUGGUGGCACACAGGUCAUCAAACAACGGUUGCAUCCAAUUGUUAAGGAUAACGAUGAAACAAACCCAAAGGUUGUAUUCGGAGAAGGCCGGGAUGCCUCUGAAGAUCAGGGACAGGAUACAGACAAUAGCGACGAUGUGUACCGGGAUCCUGAACUAGAUAACAUGGACGA